AUUGAACGCUGGCGGCAGGCCUAACACAUGCAAGUCGAACGAGUGGCGGAAGGGUGAGUAAUGUCUGGGAAACUGCCUGAUGGAGGGGGAUAACUACUGGAAACGGUAGCUAAUACCGCAUACCAUCAGAUGUGCCCAGAUGGGAUUAGCUGGUUGGUGGGGUAACGGCUCACCAAGGCGACGAUCCCUAGCUGGUCUGAGAGGAUGACAGUCCACACUGGAACUGCGACACGUUCCAGACUCCUGCGGGAGGCAGCAGUGGGGAAUAUGGCACACUGGGCGCAAUCCUGAUGCAUCCAUGCCGCUGGUAUGAAGAAGGACUUCGGGUUGUAAAUUACUUUCAGCGGGGAGGCGUUACCCGCAGAAGAAGCACCGGCUAACUCCGUGCCAGCCGCCGCGGUAAUAC
rnacentral:rRNA from 1 species